rnacentral:rRNA from 1 species
AAUUAGUCUCCUAAUUAGGGACAAGAAUGAAAGGUAUCACUAGGGUAUAACGACAAUAAGCUAAAGGUGAAAUUUUACUGUUGGUGAAAAUACCUACAUGCCACAUCAAGACAAGAAGACCCUAUGAAGCUUUAUGACAAUUUAUUUUAUAUUACUGCAGAAAUAGUCAUUUUUUUGGGGUAAAAUUAAAUAAUUUUAUUUAAAGUGUUUAAUUUAAGGAUCCUUUUUGAACUAUGAAUUAGCUCCUCUAGGGAUAACAGCACUAUUCUAAUGAGAGAUCUUAUCGAUAUUAGAGU